CCUAACACAUGCAAGUCGAACGGUAACAGGAAACAGCUUGCUGUUUCGCUGACGAGUGGCGGACGGGUGAGUAAUGUCUGGGAAACUGCCUGAUGGAGGGGGAUAACUACUGGAAACGGUAGCUAAUACCGCAUAACGUCGCAAGACCAAAGAGGGGGACCUUCGGGCCUCUUGCCAUCGGAUGUGCCCAGAUGGGAUUAGCUAGUAGGUGGGGUAACGGCUCACCUAGGCGACGAUCCCUAGCUGGUCUGAGAGGAUGACCAGCCACACUGGAACUGAGACACGGUCCAGACUCCUACGGGAGGCAGCAGUGGGGAAUAUUGCACAAUGGGCGCAAGCCUGAUGCAGCCAUGCCGCGUGUAUGAAGAAGGCCUUGGGGUUGUAAAGUACUUUCAGCGGGGAGGAAGGGAGUAAAGUUAAUACCUUUGCUCAUUGACGUUACCCGCAGAAGAA
rnacentral:rRNA from 1 species